rnacentral:rRNA from 1 species
CGGGUGGCAAACCCGUCGGCGCAAUGAAAGUGAAGGCAGGCGUUUGGCCUGCUGUGGCGAGAGCCUCCCCCCGGGGGGCGCAUCGUCGACCGAUCCCAGGCUACGCUGUGGCGGGAUUUGAGUGAGAGCGUGCCUGUUGCGACCCGAAAGAUGGUGAACUAUGCCUGAAUAGGGUGAAGCCAGAGGAAACUCUGGUGGAAGCUCGCAGCGAUUCUGACGUGCAAAUCGAUCGUCAAAUUUGGGUAUAGGGGCGAAAGACUAAUCGAACCAUCUAGUAGCUGGUUCCCUCCGAAGUUUCCCUCAGGAUAGCUGGAGCCCGGUGCAGUUUUAUCAGGUAAAGCGAAUGAUUAGAGGUCUUGGGGCUGAAACAGCCUCAACCUAUUCUCAAACUUUAAAUGGGUAAGAAGCCUGGCUUGCUUGGUUGAAGUCGGGCGUAGAAUGCCGGGGCUCCCAGUGGGCCAUUUUUGGUAAGCAGAACUGGCGAUGUGGGAUGAACCAAAUGCCGGGUUAAGGUGCCUGAAUCGACGCUCAUCAGAUCCCAUGAAAGGUGUUGGUUGAUACUGACAGCAGGACGGUGGCCA